UUUCAGAUGCAGGAAUCAGAGGAGCUUAGGUAGAAGAGCUCAAAGCGACCUUACAAGCCGUCUGGACCAACUCCCCUCCUUUUACUGCAGAAACAGGCCUAGAGACAGUCAUUGACUUGCCUUAAGUCACAGACGCAGAAUUCAUCAACACCUCUCUAUAAGGCAGUUUCUCUUUACGCAAUUGGGUACAUUUCAGAGACUCUAUUGUAUAAAGAUCGUGAAGACCUGGAGGUUCAGAGAAGCAUGAACCAGAUGCAUUUAGGGAUUGAAAAGAGGCUCUGAAGGAAAAGGAUCGAGCAGAACAAGAGAAUUCCCACGAUAGCACUUCAUGUACGGUCCAGAGCUUUCACUUUCUUCUCAAGUCAUUCUAUAAGAAUAGAAACUAUUUGACGGAUCUUCUGAGCUGUUUUUCUCUAACAAUUAAAAACAAUUAAAAUA